UACGGGGGGAGCAAGCGUUGUUCGGAUUUACUGGGCGUAAAGGGCGCGUAGGCGGUCGUGACAAGUCACUUGUGAAACCUCCGGGCUUAACUCGGAAAGGUCAAGUGAUACUGUCGGACUAGAGUACAGAAGGGGCAACUGGAAUUCUCGGUGUAGCGGUGAAAUGCGUAGAUAUCGAGAGGAACACCUGCGGCGAAGGCGGGUUGCUGGGCUGAUACUGACGCUGAGGCGCGAAAGCUAGGGGAGCGAACGGG
rnacentral:rRNA from 1 species